UAAUGAGGGAAGGAAAAGAAACAACUAGGAUUUUCUUAGUAGCGGCGAGCGAAAAGAAAUUUAGUUCAGCACUGAGUUAUUUUGUUAUUUUAACAAAUAUAAGAUGCAGUGUAUGGAAUAUCUAUAAUCUAGUAUGAUAAAUUAGCAGUCCAAGUCCUUCUUAAAUGAGGCCAUUUACCCAUAGAGGGUGCCAGGCCCGUAGUGACGUUAAUGAUUACUAGAAGAUAUUUCUUAAGAGUCGUGUUGCUUGAUAGUGCAGCACAAAUUGGGUGGUAAACUCCAUCUAAAACUAAAUAUAACCAUGAGACCGAUAGCAAACAAGUACCGUGAGGGAAAGUUGAAAAGAACUCUGAAUAGAGAGUUAAAUAGUACGUGAAACUGCUUAGAGGUUAAGCCCGAUGAACCUGAAUAUCUAAUAUGAAAAAUUCAUUGUUAAUAAUGCAUUAAUUUUUUUUAAUGUAAUAAUAAUGUGCAAUUUUUUCAUAUAAGGACAUUGUAAUCUGUUAAUAUGAUCGAUAAUAGAAAAAUUUAUCAGAAGUAUCAGUUUUGCAAAGUUUAUGUUUUAUUAUAUAAAAAAUUUAUUUUUUGAUAAUUAACAUAAAAUGCAUAUAUGAUUACAGAUAAAUUAUUGACAGAUUUUAUUAUAUAUAGCGCUUACACAUACAUUAUAUAUGUGUUAUAAUAAUUUAAUUAAAUUUUUAAUUUUUUUAUUAUAUGCGUUAAUAUGAUUAACAAUGCUAUAGAUUUAGGAUACCUUCGGGACCCGUCUUGAAACACGGACCAAGGAGUCUAACAUGUGUGCAAGUCAUUGGGUAUAUAAAACCUAAAGGCGUAAUUAACUUAACUGUUUAAUUUAAUGGGAUCAUAUAUAUAUUAUUAAUAUUAUAUAUUCCAUCCCGGGGCGUUCUAUACAGUUAUGCAUUUUAAUAUAAAUUUUUUUUUAAAGAAUAUAUUAUAUAUGCCUCUAACUAGAGCGUACCUUGAGCAUAUAUGUUGUCACCCGAAAGAUGAUGAACUAUACCUGAUCAGGUUGAAGUCAGGGGAAACCCUGAUGGAGGACCGAAGCAGUUCUGACGUGCAAAUCGAUUGUCAGAAUUGGGUAUAGGGGCGAUAGACCUAUCGAAUCAUCUAGUAGCUGGUUCCCUCCGAAGUUUCCCUCAGGAUAGCUGGUGCAUUUAAAUAUUAUUUAAAAUAAUCUUAUCUGGUAAAGCGAAUGAUUAGAGGCAUUAGGGCCGAAACGACCUUAACCUAUUCUCAAACUUUAAAUGGGUAAGAACCUCACCUUUCUUGAUAUGAAGGUUGAGGUUAUGAUAUAUUGUGCCCAGUGGGCCACUUUUGGUAAGCAGAACUGGCGCUGUGGGAUGAACCAAACGUAAUGUUAAGGCGCCAAAAUUAACAACUCAUACUGAUACCAUGAAAGGCGUUGGUUGCUUAAAACAGCAGGACGGUGGACAUGGAAGUCGUAAUCCGCUAAGGAGUGUGUAACAACUCACCUGCCGAAGCAACUAGCCCUUAAAAUGGAUGGCGCUCAAGUUGUAUGCCUAUACAUUACCGCUGAAAUAUAUGAUUUAUAAAUUAUAUAAUUUAUAAAUUUUGAAGUUUUAGUGAGUAGGAGGGUACAAUGGUGUGCGUAGAAGUGUUUGGUGUAAACCUGCAUGGAGCCGCCAUUGGUACAGAUCUUGGUGGUAGUAGCAAAUAAUCGAAUGAGACCUUGGAGGACUGAAGUGGAGAAGGGUUUCGUGUGAACAGUGGUUGAUCACGAGUUAGUCGGUCCUAAGUUCUAGGCGAAAGUCGAAAAAUUUUUUAAGUUACAAAUAUGCAAUGCAAUAUAUGAUAUACUUAAAUAUUUUUGAACGAAAGGGAAUACGGUUCCAAUUCCGUAACCUGUUGAGUAUACGUUUGUUAUUAAAAAUGGGCUUUUAUGCUCAUCCUGGUAACAGAAACAACCAUAAAGAAGCCGUCGAGAAAUAUCGAAAGAGUUUUCUUUUCUGUUUCAUAGUCGUACUACCAUGGAAGUCUUUCGAAGAGAGAUAUGGUAGAUGGACUAGAAGAGCAUGGCAUUUACUGCUGUGUCGAUAUUUUCUCCUCGGACCUUGAAAAUUUAUGGUGGGGUCACGCAAACUUCUUAACAGGCCGUACCGAUAUCCGCAGCUGGUCUCCAAGGUGAAGAGUCUCUAGUCGAUAGAAU
rnacentral:rRNA from 1 species